AACGAACGCUGGCGGCAUGCCUAACACAUGCAAGUCGAACGAGACCUUCGGGUCUAGUGGCGCACGGGUGCGUAACGCGUGGGAACCUGCCCUUAGGUUAGGAAUCACUCCUCGAAAGGGGUGCUAAUACCGGAUAAUGUUUUCGGACCCAAGUUUGAUCGCAUAUGGAUGGGGCCGCGUUGGAUUAGCUAGUUGGUAGGGUAAAGGCCUAACAAGGGGACGAUCCAUAGCUGGUCUGAGAGGAUGAUCAGCCACACUGGGACUGAGACACGGCCCAGACUCCUACGGGAGGAAGCAGUGGUGAAUAUUGGACACUGGGCGAAAGACGGAUCCAUCAAUGCCGUGUGAGUGAUUAAGGCCUUAGGGUUGUAAAGCUCUUUUACCCGGGAUGAUAAUGACAGUACCGGAAGAAUAAGCCCCGGCUAACUCCGUG
rnacentral:rRNA from 1 species